UACAGAGGUCUCAAGCGUUGUUCGGAUUCAUUGGGCGUAAAGGGUGCGUAGGCGGCGCGGUAAGUCGGGUGUGAAAUCUUGGAGCUUAACUCCGAAACUGCAUUCGAUACUGCCGUGCUUGAGGACUGGAGAGGAGACUGGAAUUUACGGUGUAGCGGUGAAAUGCGUAGAUAUCGUAAGGAAGACCAGUGGCGAAUGCGGGUCUCUGGACAGUUCCUGACGCUGAGGCACGAAGGCCAGGGGAGCAAACGGG
rnacentral:rRNA from 1 species